rnacentral:rRNA from 1 species
UACAGAGGUCUCAAGCGUUUGUUCGGAAUUACUGGGCGUAAAGGGCUCGUAGGUGGCCAACUAAGUCAUACGUGAAAUCCCUCGGCUUAACCGGGGAACUGCGUCUGAUACUGGAUGGCUUGAGGUUGGGAGAGGGAUGCGGAAUUCCAGGUGUAGCGGUGAAAUGCGUAGAUAUCUGGAGGAACACCGGUGGCGAAGGCGGCAUCCUGGACCAAUUCUGACACUGAGGAGCGAAAGCCAGGGGAGCAAACGGG